UGGCGGCGUGCUAACACAUGCAAGUUGAGCGCGAAAGGGGGGCAACUCCCGAGUAGAGCGGCGAACGGGUGAGUAACGCGUGGGUGAUCUACCUUCGAGUGGGGAAUAACAUCGGGAAACUGGUGCUAAUACCGCAUGACAUCCCGGGGUCAAAUCCGGGAUCAAAGCCGGGGACCGCAAGGCCUGGCGCUUGAAGAGGAGCCCGCGUCCGAUUAGCUAGUUGGCGGGGUAACGGCCCACCAAGGCUACGAUCGGUAGCCGGCCUGAGAGGGCGGACGGCCACACUGGGACUGAGACACGGCCCAGACUCCUACGGGAGGCAGCAGUGGGGAAUUUUUCGCAAUGGGGGAAACCCUGACGAAGCAACGCCGCGUGGAGGAUGAAGGCCCUCGGGUCGUAAACUCCUGUCGACCGGGACGAAAGUGGUCCGGCCUAAUACGUCGGGCCAUCGACUGUACCGGUGGAGGAAGCCACGGCUAACUCUGUGCCAGCAGCCGCGGUAAUACAGAGGUGGCAAGCGUUGUUCGGAAUUACUGGGCGUAAAGGGCGCGUAGGCGGUCUUGUAAGUCCCGCGUGAAAUCCCCCGGCU
rnacentral:rRNA from 1 species